UGGGAUUACAGAUGGCGUGACAGCUCAUC
rnacentral:piRNA from 1 species